UACGUAGGGGGCAAGCGUUGUCCGGAUUUAUUGGGCGUAAAGAGCGUGUAGGCGGUCAGGUAGGUCCGUUGUGAAAACUCGAGGCUCAACCUCGAGACGCCGAUGGAAACCAUCUGACUAGAGUCCGGAAGAGGAGAGUGGAAUUCCUGGUGUAGCGGUGAAAUGCGCAGAUAUCAGGAAGAACACCCGUGGCUAAGGCGGCUCACUGGCCCGGUACUGACGCUGAGGUGCGAAAGCGUGGGGAGCAAACAGG
rnacentral:rRNA from 1 species